ACAUCACUUUUAUAAUUCCACAUUUAACCUUUUUAUCUUUCUUCCUUUCUUUUCGUUCUUUCUUAUCUCGAUCUCAAAUUCGAGAGAGAAACAAAAACCCCCUACCGGUGCCUGCACCACUACCAACAGCUUCACCAGCUCCGCCUCCUCCGUUCAAAUAUAUCAUUAGAUCCGGCACCACCUCCUAGUCCACCGUUUCUACAAUUCUUUCAUCACCUCUAUCACUACAUCUUAUAUUUUCAGCCAAAUCCACCACUAUCACCUCUUAAACAAUUGGUUUUGAUUGAUUUCACCAGAUUCAAUUACAAAACUCAAAUUUAGUGAUGAAUCAAAUAGAAACUAAUCUCCUUAACUUGAUCUCGAGCACCAGAUUCGUUAAUUUCUCCGAUUUUCAAUUGAAUUGUGCAUGAUUUCAUUUUUAAACCCUAAUUUUGGGUUUCAAAUUUCUAUUUUUUUAGAUGAUUAUGAUGACGACGGUGGUGGUGGUGGCGGAAAAUUAUGCUCUAAUGAUGAUGGUGGCGGCGGCGACAGCGGCGGUGGAAGAGGAUAUCGAAUUUAUGUUCUAUUAGUUGACGAUGGUGGAGAAUAGUCACGUUAAUGCAUUGAAAGAGUCAAAAAGCAGUAGAUAAUGGUACUGGUACUUCAAAUUGCUUGUUAAGAGAUCAAAUUCCAGGCUGGUGUGGUGUUAUGGUGGAUUGUGUUGGAUGGUUAGUAUGAACAGUGGUGGGUGGUGGAUAUUGCUGGUGGUGGGAGCUCUGUAAGUGUAGAUUAUAUACUUGGUUAAUGUUAGUUCUGUUUUCUUUUUGAUUAGUUGGGACUUGAGAACUAGUGAUAAGAGCAUAAAUCUAGUGAAAAGGCUUGAGAUGAUAAUUGGACUUGAUUUUUAUUACGGUGGUGUGUGGUGGUGGGGCAGUAGUAUGUGUGGUGGUGGAGUAGUAGCAUGUGUGGUGGUGGGGGGUGGUUGGUGUUGUGUUUUUGGUAGUGCUAAUUGGAUUAUAGUUCCUUUUUUGUUUGAUUUUAAAUGGUGAUGGAAGAGGUAGAAUGUAGUGGAUUGCAAGUAAUACUAACAGUUCCUGUGUAUAUGCAUUUUUCUGUAAUGGUAAUUGGCAGAGUGGGAAGACCAAUAGGAAACUAAUAAAGUUGCGCAGCAGUGGGAAGAUAUGGAUUGUAGUUGGAUCAAAUGAGACGGGAAUGUUUACGAAUGAAGAGAGUGAAACCCAGGUACAUGAUGAGCUUGCAGGUGAUAUAGGGAGUAAAUUUGUGUUUCCACCACAAUAUAGUUAUCCUCGGCUAGUCCACAGGUAUAUCUAACUUUUGUACUCUUAUUCAAUUAGAAAUGUUGUAUAUGAUCACAUUUAGAGGUAAAAUUAAUGAUGUAUGUUGUACUUUCUGAUUUAGUAGAAUCUCAAGGCAUAGUUUUGGAAGUUACGAGUAUAAGACUACUAUAUCUUUUACUUA